CCAUUAGAUGUUCUGGGCCGCACGCGCGCUACACUGUUCGACGCAGCGAGUCUUAACCUUGACCGAAAGGUUUGGGUAAUCUUCAGCAAAGUCGAACGUGAUGGGGAUCGAUCAUUGCAAUUAUUGAUCGUGAACGAGGAAUUCCUAGUAAGUGCAAGUCAUCAGCUUGCGCUGAUUACGUCCCUGCCCUUUGUACACACCGCCCGUCGCUACUACCGAUUGAAUGGUUUAGUGAGAUCUCUGGAUUGACGCUGGCUAGGGGGCGACCCUUGGCCAGACUGUUGAGAAACUGCUCAAACUUGAUCAUUUAGAGGAAGUAAAAGUCGUAACA
rnacentral:rRNA from 1 species